UACGAACUGUGCAAACGUUAUUCGGAAUCACUGGGCUUAAAGGGUGCGUAGGCGGCUUGUCAAGUAGGGUGUGAAAGCCCCCGGCUUAACCGGGGAAUUGCGCCCUAAACUGACGAGCUGGAGUGGGACAGGGGUGUGUGGAACUUCCGGUGGAGCGGGUGAAAUGUGUUGAUAUCGGAAGGAACGGCCGGUGGCGAAAGCGACACACUGGGUCGUCAACUGACGCUGAGGCACGAAAGCCAGGGGAGCGAACGGG
rnacentral:rRNA from 1 species